rnacentral:lncRNA from 1 species
GUAAACAUCAUUCUUUUGGAUAGAUUGCGAGAUCGAAAAUAUAUUUUCUUCCGUGUUGUUAUUCUUCAAACACCAAUUUUAACAAAUCAUUUUUUUGUUCUUGCAAUUUGUCUUACAUAAUGGUGUUGGUGGUGGAGGUGCUAUUGUUGUUGCUGUUAUUGGUGUCGUUGUUGUUAUUGUUUUAUAGGUGUCAUUGUUGUUGUUUUUAUUGUUGUUAUUGUUGUUGUGUUUGUUGUUAGAGUCGUUGUUGUUGUUGUUAUCAAUGUUAUUGUUGUUGGUGUCAUUGUUGUUGUUGUUGGUGGUGGUGUUAUUGGUGUUGGUGGUGGUGGUGUCGUUGUUAUUUUUGGUGUCGUUGUUGUUGUUGUUGUUGUUCUUGUUCUUGUUGUCGUCGUCGUCGUCAUCGUCUUCGUCGUCGUCGUUGUUGUUAUUGUUGUAGUUGUUUUUGUUAUUGUUGUUUCCACCUAUUGUCAAUGUUGAAUGGUAAAUGAAUAUAUUGUUAUACUUUAGAAUAACUUCUCAAUAUUGUCAAUCAAAGAAAAUAUUUUAUAAUAUGUUACUUUCUUUGGUUCAAAACAAAGAGAAAUUUAUUCCUAAUCAUACUAUAAUGUUGUUUUUCACAAAAUAAUAUCUUGGAAAUUUUG